UCAGUCGUAGCCGAUGUUCCACAGCAGGGGGCCCAGGGCAGACCCCUGCAGAACACCGCGCUCGACGUG
rnacentral:pre_miRNA from 1 species